GCGGUAGGUGUGGAAUCAGGGAGAGCCGGUGGCAACAGCGUCGUUGGAACCCUGGCAAGCUGCGGCUCCGAGGAGAAGGUGCCCCUCAGCCUGGUAUCCGCCGGCAAUGGAGGGGGCAGCAGAGGACCCGGAGGCCGAGCCUGAGGUGGACUGCCAAGUCGUGUUUCCUUGCAUCGGGGAGGCCAGGUCUGGUCCCAGGAAUUCAGCUGAAUAGGGAUCAAACCAUUCUGAACACCUACGGACUCAACAGGAGAUCGAAGAAAAGAAUAGCAACAGCUCUCUGAACAGAAAAGCGACCACUUUCUGGAAGGGUACCAGAUCACCUACCACCUGGCCAGGAGCAACCCCAGCACAUUCACCACGGUGGAGGUGGGUGCCUUGAGAGGUAGUUCACGACACCGAGCUGGCCCCAGAGUCGGCAUACAUCUUCAGGCUGCCGGCCAAGACGAGGCAGGGCUGGGCGAACCGCUGGAGGGCCCCGUCAUCACCACUGAGAAGAGAGAACCCCUGUUUGGAUUAGUGACUUCCUCCAGCGUAGUUGGCUGAUUCAACUUGAAGCGGAGGUCUCGAGACCCCGUGGGCGGGCUGACCUUGAUGUAUGUGCAGCAUCCAACAGACGAGAGCCUGAACAGCCUUCUUCAGGAAUAUGGGAUCUACUACUGGGAGCUGGAGUCAGAGCUCUGAGAAACACCGGUGUUAUGAGGUCAUCCUGACGGCCUACAACAUCAUCAGCGAGAGCCCAGCAGCGCGCCCGUGGAGGUGUUCGUCGGCGAGGCCGGUAAGCUCUGGGCGCCCCCGCCAUCUGGGAGGCCUGGCCUGGCGCUCUCAGGGGCCGAGCAGCAUGCCCGUGUUGAGGAGCAUGGUGCCUGUGCGAGGCCAGGAGGCUCCAGGUCCCUGCUGGGAGAGAUGGGACAUGCUGAGGGCUGGGAUGA